rnacentral:lncRNA from 10 species
UUGAGAUGGAGUCUCGCUCUGUCACCCAGGCUGGAGUACUGUCGCCUGAUCUUGGCUCACUGCAACCACUGCCUCCCGGGUCCAGGCGAUUCUCCUGCCUCAGCCUCCCACGUAACUGGGAUUACAGGUGCAUGCUACCACACCUGGCCAUUUUUUUGUAUUUUUAGUAGAGAUGGGGUUUCACUGUGUUAGCUAGGAUGGUCUUGAUCUGACCCCGUGAUCCGCCCGCCUCGGCCUCUCAGAGCUGAGAGGAACAAAGAGAAUCUCAGUCCAGCUCAAGUUUUCAGCAUGAAGGGACAGAGAAAAGGCUAUCGUGGCUCAUUUUUCCCUGUUGAAAUGAGCAGCCAUGGCAGCUCUUCCCUGGCACCAAGCUUGGGAAGUCGGCACCUUCUCCAGUCUUCAUGUCAGCUGUGGAGAUGCAGGGAGUCCUGCUUGCUAGCAGAAUAAGAAAAUGGAUUCCUUCAAUUCAAUGCUAUCCAGUCUGUAGCAUUAAUCCUCUCUUCCCCUCUCUUCCUGUGGAAAAGCUUACUGGCUCACCUAUUUGGAAGGAGUCCUAAGGACAGGGAGGGUAAAGGAAUGUUAGCAGGAAAGCUGCAGGAAGUUAGAGAAAGUCUAGGGCCAGUUUCUGGCAGAAAAAAAAAAUUUCCCCCUUCCCCCUUGGGCAGUAAAGAAGAAAAUUAAAUGAGAGUGUCAAAACGGUUUGCUGAUGUGCAAACCGCUUACUAGACCUUGGUCAAGGUCUAAUAUCUUUUUAAGAAUGAUGGCUUUGGAAUUAGACCUUUUGGGGUUCAGAUCUCAGCUCUUCCUUUUGAUUGGCUGUGGAGCUGUGGGUAAUUUGCUUAAUCUCUUUGAGCUUUCAGUUCACUAUGAAACACGACCAUGUGGAGAUUAAAGAAUCAAAUGUACUACCCAAUACACAGUAGUUCACCAUACUGAAUGUUCACACUUUGCACCAUGAACCCAGGUGAGGUACCUAUGAUCAUCCAGGCCAGGACCAGGGUGAGGCAAGUGAGGAGCUGAAGAAGUGUGAGAAGCCAAGAAGGAAAUGACUACCUCUAGAAAGCCUUUCCUGAACGCUUCGACGGAGCUACAAUGGAG